UUGAUUCAUUUAUGUUUGUUUCUCAGAGUUUCAGUGUAAAAACAAGAGUUAACUUGGCCGCCGGCGGGCUGCUCCUCGUUACCGAGGGGCUUCAACGAAGAAGCCGGCCUGACGCCGAGGCAACAGUAAGGUAUAAGUUCACAAAGGGUUUCUGGGUGCGCCGAGGCGCGUUCCAGCAAUGAUCCCUCCGCUGGUUCACCAACGGAGA
rnacentral:misc_RNA from 1 species